rnacentral:lncRNA from 1 species
CAUGUGCUGCUCCCAAACAUUUCUUAGGCCAUCUCCUAAAUCCCAGUAUUUUCAUUCGCCAGGUCUGGAGGGGACAUUAGAGAUUCUUCCAUUCUGACCAACACGCUCAGAAGGAGCAGUGUGAAGCUGUUUUCAGGGAGCCCAUCCACCACUUCUGGAGACACUCGCUUUUCACUGGACUGUGCUGCUGCCAUCUUGGCUCACUGCAACCACCCUGCCUGAUUCUCCUGCCUCAGC